AUUGAACGCUGGCGGCAGGCCUAACACAUGCAAGUCGAGCGGAUGAAGGGAGCUUGCUCCUGGAUUCAGCGGCGGACGGGUGAGUAAUGCCUAGGAAUCUGCCUGGUAGUGGGGGAUAACGUCCGGAAACGGGCGCUAAUACCGCAUACGUCCUGAGGGAGAAAGUGGGGGAUCUUCGGACCCCACGCUAUCAGAUGAGCCUAGGUCGGAUUAGCUAGUUGGUGGGGUAAAGGCCUACCAAGGCGACGAUCCGUAACUGGUCUGAGAGGAUGAUCAGUCACACUGGAACUGAGACACGGUCCAGACUCCUACGGGAGGCAGCAGUGGGGAAUAUUGGGCAAUGGGCGAAAGCCUGAUCCAGCCAUGCCGCGUGUGUGAAGAAGGUCUUCGGAUUGUAAAGCACUUUAAGUUGGGAGGAAGGGCAGUAAGUUAAUACCUUGCUGUUUUGACGUUACCAACAGAAUAAGCACCGGCUAACUUCGUG
rnacentral:rRNA from 1 species